GACGAACGCUGGCGGCGUGCUUAACACAUGCAAGUCGAACGAUGAAGCUAGAGCUUGCUCUGGUGGAUUAGUGGCGAACGGGUGAGUAACACGUGAGUAACCUGCCCCGAACUCUGGGAUAACUGCUGGAAACGGUAGCUAAUACUGGAUACGACCGACGAAGGCAUCUUCUGUUGGUGGAAAGAAUUUCGGUUCGGGAUGGACUCGCGGCCUAUCAGCUUGUUGGUGAGGUAACGGCUCACCAAGGCGACGACGGGUAGCCGGCCUGAGAGGGUGAUCGGCCACACUGGGACUGAGACACGGCCCAGACUCCUACGGGAGGCAGCAGUGGGGAAUAUUGCGCAAUGGGCGAAAGCCUGACGCAGCAACGCCGCGUGCGGGAUGACGGCCUUCGGGUUGUAAACCGCUUUCAGCAGGGAAGAAGCCGCAAGGUGACGGUACCUGCAGAAGAAGCACCGGCUAACUACGUGCCAGCCGCCGCAGUAA
rnacentral:rRNA from 1 species